rnacentral:tRNA from 2 species
UGGGUGAUUAGCUCAGCUGGGAGAGCACCUCCCUUACAAGGAGGGGGUCGGCGGUUCGAUCCCGUCAUCACCCACC